rnacentral:rRNA from 1 species
ACGAACGCUGGCGGCGUGCCUAAUACAUGCAAGUAGAACGCUGAAGAGAGGAGCUUGCUCUUCUUGGAUGAGUUGCGAACGGGUGAGUAACGCGUAGGUAACCUGCCUUGUAGCGGGGGAUAACUAUUGGAAACGAUAGCUAAUACCGCAUAACAAUGGAUGACACAUGUCAUUUAUUUGAAAGGGGCAAUUGUUCCACUACAAGAUGGACCUGCGUUGUAUUAGCUAGUAGGUGAGGUAAUGGCUCACCUAGGCGACGAUACAUAGCCGACCUGAGAGGGUGAUCGGCCACACUGGGACUGAGACACGGCCCAGACUCCUACGGGAGGCAGCAGUAGGGAAUCUUCGGCAAUGGGGGCAACCCUGACCGAGCAACGCCGCGUGAGUGAAGAAGGUUUUCGGAUCGUAAAGCUCUGUUGUAAGUCAAGAACGGGUGUGAGAGUGGAAAGUUCACACUGUGACGGUAGCUUACCAGAAAGGGACGGCUAACUACGUGCCAGCAGCCGCGGUAAUACGUAGGUCCCGAGCGUUGUCCGGAUUUAUUGGGCGUAAAGCGAGCGCAGGCGGUUUGAUAAGUCUGAAGUUAAAGGCUGUGGCUCAACCAUAGUUCGCUUUGGAAACUGUCAAACUUGAGUGCAGAAGGGGAGAGUGGAAUUCCAUGUGUAGCGGUGAAAUGCGUAGAUAUAUGGAGGAACACCGGUGGCGAAAGCGGCUCUCUGGUCUGUAACUGACGCUGAGGCUCGAAAGCGUGGGGAGCGAACAGGAUUAGAUACCCUGGUAGUCCACGCCGUAAACGAUGAGUGCUAGGUGUUGGAUCCUUUCCGGGAUUCAGUGCCGCAGCUAACGCAUUAAGCACUCCGCCUGGGGAGUACGACCGCAAGGUUGAAACUCAAAGGAAUUGACGGGGGCCCGCACAAGCGGUGGAGCAUGUGGUUUAAUUCGAAGCAACGCGAAGAACCUUACCAGGUCUUGACAUCCCGAUGCUAUUUCUAGAGAUAGAAAGUUACUUCGGUACAUCGGUGACAGGUGGUGCAUGGUUGUCGUCAGCUCGUGUCGUGAGAUGUUGGGUUAAGUCCCGCAACGAGCGCAACCCCUAUUGUUAGUUGCCAUCAUUCAGUUGGGCACUCUAGCGAGACUGCCGGUAAUAAACCGGAGGAAGGUGGGGAUGACGUCAAAUCAUCAUGCCCCUUAUGACCUGGGCUACACACGUGCUACAAUGGUUGGUACAACGAGUUGCGAGUCGGUGACGGCGAGCUAAUCUCUUAAAGCCAAUCUCAGUUCGGAUUGUAGGCUGCAACUCGCCUACAUGAAGUCGGAAUCGCUAGUAAUCGCGGAUCAGCACGCCGCGGUGAAUACGUUCCCGGGCCUUGUACACACCGCCCGUCACACCACGAGAGUUUGUAACACCCGAAGUCGGUGAGGUAACCUUUUGGAGCCAGCCGCCUAAGGUGGGACAGAUGAUUGGGGUGAA